rnacentral:rRNA from 1 species
GGAAGUUCGACGGGGGCCCGCACGAAGCGGUGGAGCAUGUGGUUCAAUCGACGCAACGCGAAGAACCUUACCUGGGCUAGACAACAGUGGACCGUCCUAGAGAUAGGAUUUUCCCUUCGGGGACCGCUGGUUCAGGUGCUGCAUGGCUGUCGUCAGCUCGUGCCGUGAGGUGUUGGGUUAAGUCCCGCAACGAGCGCAACCCUCGUACUUAGUUGCCACCAUUCAGUUGGGCACUCUAGGUAGACUGCCGGCGUUAAGCCGGAGGAAGGUGGGGACGACGUCAAGUCAUCAUGGCCCUUAUGCCCAGGGCCACACACGUGCUACAAUGGGCGGCACAAAGGGUCGCGAACCCGCGAGGGGGAGCCAAUCCCAAAAAGCCGUUCUCAGUUCGGAUUGGAGUCUGCAACUCGACUCCAUGAAGUUGGAAUCGCUAGUAAUCGCGCAUCAGCCAUGGCGCGGUGAAUACGUUCCCGGACCUU